CUGCGUAUCAACUACCAGAGUAUCACAAAAAGUCAUCCAAAAUAGCACAUCCACUACCAACUCUGGAACAAGGACAAGAAUUUUCAAGAAGAAAACAGUAUUAGCAACACCAGCCGCGCAAUUGCCGAACAGUCAGAUUAUGUAUAAAGCAUAAUCUUAAUUCUUUUAAAAAUAGCGCUUCACGCAAUAUAUGUACA